rnacentral:rRNA from 1 species
CCUACGGGCGGCAGCAGUGGGGAAUAUUGCACAAUGGGGGAAACCCUGAUGCAGCGACGCCGCGUGAGGGAGGAAGGAUUUCGGUAUGGAAAGCUCUAUCAGCAGGGAAGCAAAUGACGGUACGUGACUCAGAAGCCCCGGCUAACUACGUAGCAGCAGCCGCGGCAAUACGGGGGGGGCCAGCGUUAUCCGGAUGUACUGGGGGUAAAGGGGGCGUAGGCGGAAAUGCAAGUCUGAUGGGAAAAUCCGGGGGCCCACCCCGGAACGGCAGUGGAAACUGCAUUUCUUGAGUGGGGGAGAGGUAAGCGGAAUUCGUGGUGUAGCGGUGAAAUGCGUAGAUAUCACGAAGAACUCCAGUGGCGAAGGCGGCGUGCUGGCGGCCGACUGACGUUGAGGCACGAAAGCGUGGGGAGCAAACAGGAUUAGAUACCCGGGUAGUC